rnacentral:rRNA from 1 species
GACGAACGCUGGCGGCGUGCUUAACACAUGCAAGUCGAACGAGGUCCACUGCGUAGCAAUACAAAGGAAGACCUAGUGGCGAACGGGUGCGUAACACGUGAGGAACUUGUCCCGGUCUCUGGGAUAACAGUUGGAAACGACUGCUAAUACCGGAUGACGUCGGAAGCUCGCAUGGGCUACUGACGAAAGGGUUACUGGAUCGGGAGAGCCUCGCGGCCUAUCAGCUAGUUGGUGAGGUAACGGCUCACCAAGGCAUCGACGGGUAGCUGGUCUGAGAGGAUGAUCAGCCACACUGGGACUGAGACACGGCCCAGACUCCUACGGGAGGCAGCAGUGGGGAAUCUUGCGCAAUGGGCGAAAGCCUGACGCAGCAACGCCGCGUGCGGGAAGAAGGCCUCGG